GACGAACGCUGGCGGCGUGCUUAACACAUGCAAGUCGAACGGAAAGGCCCUGCUUUUGUGGGGUGCUCGAGUGGCGAACGGGUGAGUAACACGUGGGUAACCUGCCCUUGACUUUGGGAUAACUUCAGGAAACUGGGGCUCAUACCGGAUAGGAGCUCCUGCUGCUUGGUGGGGGUUGGAAAGUUUCGGCGGUUGGGGAUGGACUCGCGGCUUAUCAGCUUGUUGGUGGGGUAGUGGCUUACCAAGGCUUUGACGGGUAGCCGGCCUGAGAGGGUGACCGGCCACAUUGGGACUGAGAUACGGCCCAGACUCCUACGGGAGGCAGCAGUGGGGAAUAGUGCACAAUGGGCGGAAGCCUGAUGCAGCAACGCCGCGUGCGGGAUGACGGCCUUCGGGUUGUAAACCGCUUUCGCCUGUGACGAAGCGUGAGUGACGGUAAUGGGUAAAGAAGCAACGGCUAACUACGUG
rnacentral:rRNA from 1 species